rnacentral:rRNA from 1 species
AGCAGCAGCCGCGGUAAUACGAAGGGGGCUAGCGUUGCUCGGAAUGACUGGGCGUAAAGGGCGCGUAGGCGGCGAUCAAAGUCAGGCGUGAAAUUCCUGGGCUCAACCUGGGGGCUGCGCUUGAUACUUGGUAGCUUGAGUGGGGAAGAGGGUCGUGGAAUUCCCAGUGUAGAGGUGAAAUUCGUAGAUAUUGGGAAGAACACCGGUGGCGAAGGCGGCGACCUGGUCCUUGACUGACGCUGAGGUGCGAAAGCGUGGGGAGCAAACAGGAUUAGAUACCCCUGUAGUCCCUGUCUCUUAUAA